GAUGAACGCUGGCGGCGUGCUUAACACAUGCAAGUCGAACGUGAGGGUGUAGCAAUAUGCCUGAAAGUGGCGAACGGGUGAGUAACACGUGGAUAACCUGCCCUGGAGUGGGGGAUAACCAUUGGAAACGGUGGCUAAUACCGCAUAGAGCUAUUGAUUUGGGAGAAUCGAUAGGGAAAGCUCCGGCGCUCUGGGAGGGGUCUGCGUCCGAUUAGCUAGUUGGUGAGGUAAAGGCUCACCAAGGCGACGAUCGGUAGCUGGUCUGAGAGGACGAUCAGCCACACGGGAACUGAGACACGGUCCCGACUCCUACGGGGGGCAGCAGUGAGGAAUAUUGGGCAAUGGGCGAGAGCCUGACCCAGCAACGCCGCG
rnacentral:rRNA from 1 species